UCCAAUCAGAUGACUGCGAGAGCGCAUGACUGUUAAUCAUGAUGCCACUGGUUCAAGUCCAGUAACAGGAGCCA
rnacentral:tRNA from 1 species